rnacentral:rRNA from 1 species
ACUCCUACGGGAGGCAGCAGUAGGGAAUCUUCCACAAUGGGCGAAAGCCUGAUGGAGCAACGCCGCGUGGGUGAAGAAGGUCUUCGGAUCGUAAAACCCUGUUGUUAGAGAAGAAAGUGCGUGAGAGUAACUGUUCACGUUUCGACGGUAUCUAACCAGAAAGCCACGGCUAACUACGUGCCAGCAGCCGCGGUAAUACGUAGGUGGCAAGCGUUAUCCGGAUUUAUUGGGCGUAAAGGGAACGCAGGCGGUCAUUUAAGUCUGAUGUGAAAGCCUUCGGCUUAACCGGAGUAGUGCAUUGGAAACUGGGAGACUUGAGUGCAGAAGAGGAGAGUGGAACUCCAUGUGUAGCGGUGAAAUGCGUAGAUAUAUGGAAGAACACCAGUGGCGAAAGCGGCUCUCUGGUCUGUAACUGACGCUGAGGUUCGAAAGCGUGGGUAGCAAACAGGAUUAGAUACCCUGGUAGGAUAGCG